rnacentral:misc_RNA from 1 species
UACGAAUGGGGCAAGCGUUGUUCGGAAUCACUGGGCUUAAAACGUACGUAGGCGGUUAUGAAAGUCAGAAGUGAAAGCCCCGGGCUCAACCCGGGAACUGCUUUUGAAACUCCAUAACUCGAAUCCGGGAGAGGUUGGGAGAAUUCCUAGUGUAGAGGUGAAAUUCGCAGAUAUUAGGAGGAAUACCAGUGGCGUAGGCGCCCAACUGGACCGGCAUUGACGCUGAGGUACGAAAGCGUGGGGAGCAAACAGG